AUACGUAGGUGGCAAGCGUUGUCCGGAAUUAUUGGGCGUAAAGCGCGCGCAGGUGGUUCCUUAAGUCUGAUGUGAAAGCCCCCGGCUCAACCGGGGAGGGUCAUUGGAAACUGGGGAACUUGAGUGCAGAAGAGGAUAGUGGAAUUCCAAGUGUAGCGGUGAAAUGCGUAGAGAUUUGGAGGAACACCAGUGGCGAAGGCGACGGUCUUGCCUGUAACUGACACUGAGGCGCUAACGCGUGGGGAGCAAUCAGGAUUAGAUACCCUGGUAGUCCACGCCGUAAACGAUGAGUGCUAAGUGUUGGGGGGUUUCCGCCCCUCAGUGCUGCAGCUGACGCAUUAAGCACUCCGCCUGGGGAGUACGGUCGCAAGACUGAAACUCAAAGGAAUUGACGGGG
rnacentral:rRNA from 1 species